AAGAUACUCCCUCCGUCCGAAAAUACAUGUCCUAAAAAUGAAUAAAAUAGAUGUAUCUAUAACUAAAAUAAGUCUAGAUACAUCCAUUUCUAGGACAAGUAUUUCCGAACGGAGGGAGUAUAUU
rfam:Hordeum vulgare subsp. vulgare, WGS project CAJW01000000 data, contig: morex_contig_271231